rnacentral:lncRNA from 10 species
UUAAAAACCCAUCGUUUUAAAAAAGUCUCCCUGCACAAUCUCUCGUCUCCUGUCUGCCACCACAUGAGACAUGCCUUUCACCUUCCGCCAUGAUUGUGAGAUGUCUCCAGCCACGUGGAACUGCCAAUCAUGAAGCCCUUGGUCAACUUCAGCCUGGUCCUACAGAUUCCAAAUACAACCAGAUGCAGAGCUGGCUGCAUGGCAACUGAGACCAUGCCGGGACCACCCACCCACCCUCAAGCUAGACAUUCUACUCCUGGUCUUCAUGGAGGCUGUGGUCCAUGUCCAACUUCAUGGCCUACUGGACUCUGUGCCUUCAGUAGGAAGGAGGAGUGACCAGAAGCUGGGGCUAGAGAGAAGAGCAGAGAAAGAAGCCUCACUAUUUUUUCAUUUUUAAGGACUUUUCCUGACAGAUGUCUCCUUCC